rnacentral:lncRNA from 1 species
GUGUGGAGUAGUGGUGUGGAGUAGUGGUGUGUCUAAUAUAGUGUAGUGGUGGAGUGUAGUAGUGGAGUGGAGUGUAGUAGUGGAGUGUAGUAGUGUAGUGGAGUGGAGUAGUGGUGUGGAGUAGUGGAGUAGUGGAGUGUCUGGAGUGUAGUAGUGGAGUGUAGUAGUGGUGUGGAGUAGUGGAGUGUCUAGGGGAGUGUAGUAGUGGUGGAGUGGAGUAGUAGAGUGUCUAGGGGAGUGGAGUAGUGGAGUAGUGGAGUGUCUAGUGGAGUGGAGUAUGUCUGGAGUGUAGUAGUGGAGUGUAGUAGUGGUGUGGAGUAGUGGAGUGUCUAGGGGAGUGUAGUAGUGGUGGAGUGGAGUAGUAGAGUGUCUAGGGGAGUGGAGUAGUGGAGUGUAGUAGUGGAGUAGUGGAGUGUCUAGUGGAGUGGAGUAGUGGUGGAGUGUAGUAGUGGAGUGUAGUAGUGGAGUGUCUAGGGGAGUGUAGUAGUGGUGGAGUGGAGUAGUGGAGUGUCUAGGGGAGUGUAGUAGUGGAGUAGUGGAGUGUAGUAGUGGAGUAGUGGAGUGUCUAGUGGAGUGGAGUAGUGGUGGAGUGUAGUAGUGGAGUUUAUAGGGCAGGAUAUCUCCUAGUAGUGUAGUGUGUUUGGAUCUAUCGAGAAUGAUAUAUAAUAUAAUAAUAUAUGCCAUUUAGCAGACACUUUUAUCCAAUGCGACUUACGACAGUGGGAUCGAACCGACAACUCUGGUCAUGCUAUUACCAUGCUCUGGGACACAUAAUGUUUUCAAGCUUUUGGCCUCAUGUUUGGACCAAGUACAUUGUAGAUGUAUGAGGAAAGCAUUGCUGUACCUCAGUAUAUUGAUAUGAUGUCCUGUAGAUCUCUGAAACUCUUACACACAAAACACCCACUCAAUGCCGCUUUGCCUCUGGGCAGGGUUUGUGGGCAGAAUCAACUAU